GAUGAACGCUAGCGGCAGGCUUAAUACAUGCAAGUCGUGGGGCAGCAGGUUUGUAGCAAUACAGAUGCUGGCGACCGGCAAACGGGUGCGGAACACGUACACAACCUUCCUUUAAGUGGGGAAUAGCCCAGAGAAAUUUGGAUUAACACCCCGUAACAUUAUGAUGUGGCAUCACAUUAUAAUUAUAGCUACGGCGCUUAAUGAUGGGUGUGCGGCUGAUUAGGUAGUUGGCGGGGUAACGGCCCACCAAGCCUGCGAUCAGUAACGGGUGUGAGAGCACGCACGGUCACACGGGCACUGAGACACGGGCCCGACUCCUACGGGAGGCAGCAGUAAGGAAUAUUGGGCAAUGGAGGAAACUCUGACCCAGCCAUGCCGCGUGGAGGAGGAAGGUCCUCUGGAUUGUAAACUUCUUUUAUAUGGGACGAAAAAGGGUCUUUCUAGGUCAACUGACGGUACCAUAUGAAUAAGCACCGGCUAACUCCGUGCCAGCCGCCGCCGUAAGAC
rnacentral:rRNA from 1 species